CUUUAGAUCGUUAAAGGGUGUAGAUAUAGGUUGUACAGGCAAAUCCGUACGACUUGUCGAACCUGAUAGUACAGCAAAGCUUCGGCAGCGCUGAUAGUGACCCUAAUCAAACCUCCGAGGAAAACCUCUAAGUUAUGUUUAAAGCAGCCCGUACCGCAAACCGACACAGGUGGGUGGGAUGAGUAUUCUAAGGCGCUCGGGUGAGCCGUGGAGAAGGAACUAGGCAAAUUAACGCUGUAACUUCGGGAUAAAGCGUACCGAUUUCGGUCGGUCUCAGUAAAAUGGUUCAACCAACUGUUUAGCAAAAACACAGGGCCCUGCAAAAUCGAAAGAUGACGUAUAGAGCCUGAUACCUGCCCGGUGCUGGAAGGUUAAGGAAGGAUGUUCGGCGCAAGCCAAAGCUUCUGACUGAAGCCCCAGUAAACGGCGGCCGUAACGAUAACGGUCCUAAGGUAGCGAAAUUCCUUGUCGGGUAAGUUCCGACCUGCACGAAUGGUCUAAUGAGUUGAACACUGUCUCCUCCACGAGCCCGGUGAAAUUGUAGUAUCGGUGAAGAUGCCGGUUACCCGUCACGGGACGGAAAGACCCCAUGAACCUUCACUACAACUUUGCAUUGAUUUUGAAUUUUUGAUGUGUAGGAUAGUUGGGAGACUUUGAAGUUGUGUCGCCAGGCAUGAUGGAGUCAACGUUGAAAUACCAACCUUUAAACAUUUAGAAUCUAAUCCCUUACGGGAAACAGUGCAUGGUGGGUAGUUUGACUGGGGUGGUCGCCUCCUAAAGUGUAACGGAGGCUUGCAAAGGUUCCUUCAGUACGGUUGGUAAUCGUACAUAGAGCGUAUUAGUAUAAGGGAGCUUGACUGUGAGACUUACAAGUCGAGCAGGGACGAAAGUCGGCUAAAGUGAUCCGGCGGUUCUGUAUGGAAGGGCCGUCGCUCAAAGGAUAAAAGGUACUCUGGGAUAACAGGCUGAUCUCACCCAAGAGCUCAUAUCGACGGUGAGGUUUGGCACCUCGAUGUCGGUUCGUCACAUCCUGGGGCUGGAGAAGGUCCCAAGGGUUCGGCUGUUCGCCGAUUAAAGUGGCACGUGAACUGGGUUCAGAACGUCGCAAGACAGUUCGGUCCCUAUCUGUGAUGGGCGCUAGUAAAUUGAGAGGACAUGACCUUAGUACGAGAGGACCGGGUCGUAUGUACCGCUGGUGUAUCUGUUGUGCCGCCAGGUGCAAUGCAGAGUAGCUAUGUACAGCCAGGAUAGACGCUGAAAGCAUCUAAGCGUGAAACCUUCCUUAAGAUGAGUUUACUUUUAAGGGUCGUCAAAGACUAUGACGUUGAUAGGCUAUAGGUAUAAAGGUGGUAACAUCAAAGCCGAGUAGUACUAAUUGCCCGUAAGCUUUAGU
rnacentral:rRNA from 1 species